AUGCGAGUGCUGCAUGGUUGUCGUCAGCUCGUGCCGUGAGGUGUUAGGUUAAGUCCUGUAACGAGCGCAACCCCUAUACUUAGUUACCAGCACGUAAUGGUGGGGACUCUAGGUAAACUGCCUGCGCAAGCAGAGAGGAAGGUGGGGAUGACGUCAAAUCAGCACGGCCCUUACGUCCAGGGCCACACACGUGCUACAAUGGCCGAUACAGAGGGCAGCUACCUGGUGACAGGAUGCAAAUCUCGAAAGUCGGUCUCAGUUCGGAUCGGAGUCUGCAACUCGACUCCGUGAAGUUGGAUUCGCUAGUAAUCGCGCAUCAGCCAUGGCGCGGUGAAUACGUUCCCGGGCCUU
rnacentral:rRNA from 1 species